GGAGAGGUGCGAGAGCGGUUGAAUCGACUUGACUCGAAAUCAAGAGAAGGGGAAACCCUUCCGUGGGUUCGAAUCCCACCCUCUCCGCCA
rnacentral:tRNA from 1 species